GGAGAAGGAGGGAGAGAGCAGGAAAAACCCUGUCAGGAGGAGGAUGAACAGAUAUCUCUCCGGCGGCGGCUCUCUGCUGCUGAAGAUGGACGUCUCGGUGUGCAGCGUGUGCAGCAGCGAACGUGCC